rnacentral:misc_RNA from 1 species
GGGAAUUUGUUUCUUCAAAGGCU